CACGUAGGGGGCGAGCGUUGUCCGGAUUUAUUGGGCGUAAAGAGCUCGUAGGCGGCUCGGUAAGUCAGGUGUGAAACCUCCAGGCUCAACCUGGAGACGCCACCUGAUACUGCCGUGGCUAGAGUCCGGUAGAGGAGCGUAGAAUUCCUGGUGUAGCGGUGAAAUGCGCAGAUAUCAGGAGGAACACCGGUGGCGAAGGCGGGUCUCUGGGCAACAACUGACGCUGAGGAGCGAAAGCGUGGGGAGCGAACAGG
rnacentral:rRNA from 1 species